rnacentral:rRNA from 1 species
UACGUAGGAGGCGAGCGUUGUCCGGAAUUACUGGGCGUAAAGAGCGCGUAGGCGGCACGGUACGACCUGUGUGAAAGCCCCCGGCUCAACUGGGGAGGGUCACAGGUAACGGCCGAGCUAUGAGUGCAGGAGAGGGAAGUGGAACUCCGGGAGUAGCGGUGAAAUGCGUAGAGAUGACAUAGAAUACCUAUUGCGAAGGCAGCUUACUACACAGAUAUUGACGCUCAUGCACGAAAGCGUGGGGAUCAAACAGG